rnacentral:rRNA from 1 species
AUUGAACGCUGGCGGCAUGCCUAAUACAUGCAAGUCGAGCGGAGCGGGGGACGGGCGAGUGAUGCCUAGGUAUCUGCCUGGCCGUGGGGGCUAAGGUCCGGAAACGGGCGCUGAUACCGCAUACUAUCAGAUGAGCCUAGGUCGGAUUAGCUAGUUGGUGGGGUAAAGGCCUACCAAGGCGACGAUCCGUAACUGGUCUGAGAGGAUGAUCAGUCACACUGGAACUGAGACACGGUCCAGACUCCUACGGGAGGCAGCAGUGGGGAAUAUUGCACAAUGGGCGCAAGCCUGAUGCAGCCAUGCCGCGUGUAUGAAGAAGGCCUUCGGGUUGUAAAGUACUUUCAGUCGGGAGGCGUUACCUACAGAAGAAGCACCGGCUAACUCCGUGCCAGCAGCCGCGGUAAUUC